rnacentral:rRNA from 1 species
GAUGAACGCUGGCGGCGUGCCUAAUACAUGCAAGUCGAGCGAAUGGAUUAAGAGCUUGCUCUUAUGAAGUUAGCGGCGGACGGGUGAGUAACACGUGGGUAACCUGCCCAUAAGACUGGGAUAACUCCGGGAAACCGGGGCUAAUACCGGAUAACAUUUUGAACCGCAUGGUUCGAAAUUGAAAGGCGGCUUCGGCUGUCACUUAUGGAUGGACCCGCGUCGCAUUAGCUAGUUGGUGAGGUAACGGCUCACCAAGGCAACGAUGCGUAGCCGGCCUGGGAGGGGGUGCGGCGACACUGGGACUGAGACACGGCCCAGACUCCUACGGGAGGCAGCAGUAGGGAAUCUUCCGCAAUGGACGAAAGUCUGACGGAGCAACGCCGCGUGAGUGAUGAAGGCUUUCGGGUCGUAAAACUCUGUUGUUAGGGAAGAACAAGUGCUAGUUGAAUAAGCUGGCACCUUGACGGUACCUAACCAGAAAGCCACGGCUAACUACGUGCCAGCCGCCGCGGUAA